ACCUUCGGGUUAGUGGCGGACGGGUGAGUAACGCGUGAGAAUCUGCCCUCAGGAGGGGGAUAACAGCUGGAAACGGCUGCUAAUACCCCAUAUGCCGCGAGGUGAAAUGAAUUUCGCCUGAGGAUGAGCUCGCGUCUGAUUAGCUAGUUGGUGUAGGUAAUGGCUCACCAAGGCAUCGAUCAGUAGCUGGUCUGAGAGGAUGAUCAGCCACACUGGGACUGAGACACGGCCCAGACUCCUACGGGAGGCAGCAGUGGGGAAUUUUCCGCAAUGGGCGAAAGCCUGACGGAGCAACGCCGCGUGAGGGAUGAAGGCCUCUGGGCUGUAAACCUCUUUUAUCAAGGAAGAAGAUCUGACGGUACUUGAUGAAUAAGCC
rnacentral:rRNA from 1 species